rnacentral:rRNA from 1 species
UACGGGGGGGCAAGCGUUGUUCGGAAUUACUGGGCGUAAAGGGUGCGUAGGCGGCCAUUCAAGUCGGAGGUGAAAGCCCAGGGCUCAACCCUGGAAUUGCCUUCGAUACUGUCUGGCUAGAGACCGGAAGAGGUAAGUGGAACUGCGAGUGUAGAGGUGAAAUUCGUAGAUAUUCGCAAGAACACCAGUGGCGAAGGCGGCUUACUGGUCCGGUUCUGACGCUGAGGCGCGAAAGCGUGGGGAGCAAACAGG